rnacentral:rRNA from 1 species
CGUAGGGCGAAGCGUUGUCCGGAAUGAUUGGGCGUAAAGGGCGCGUAGGCGGCCCGGUAAGUCUGGAGUGAAAGUCCUGCUUUUAAGGUGGGAAUUGCUUUGGAUACUGUCGGGCUUGAGUGCAGGAGAGGUAAGUGGAAUUCCCCAGUGUAGCGGUGAAAAUGCGUAGAGAUUGGGAGGAACACCAGUGGCGAAGGCGACUUACUGGACUGUAACUGACGCUGAGGCGCGAAAAGUGUGGGGAGCAAACAGGAUU